UGGGGAAUAUUGGGCAAUGGGCGCAAGCCUGACCCAGCAACGCCGCGUGAAGGAAGAAGGCUUUCGGGUUGUAAACUUCUUUUGUCAGGGAACAGUAGAAGAGGGUACCUGACGAAUAAGCCACGGCUAACUACGUGCCAGCAGCCGCGGUAAUACGUAGGUGGCAAGCGUUGUCCGGAUUUACUGGGUGUAAAGGGCGUGCAGCCGGGCUGGUAAGUCAGAUGUGAAAUCUGGAGGCUCAACCUCCAAACUGCAUUUGAAACUGCUGGUCUUGAGUACCGGAGAGGUUAUCGGAAUUCCUUGUGUAGCGGUGAAAUGCGUAGAUAUAAGGAAGAACACCAGUGGCGAAGGCGGAUAACUGGACGGCAACUGACGGUGAGGCGCGAAAGCGUGGGGAGCAAACA
rnacentral:rRNA from 1 species